CCAAGGUUCGACCUGAGCUCAGGCAAGGCUACCCG
rnacentral:rRNA from 1 species